UACAGAGGUCCCGAGCGUUGUUCGGAUUCACUGGGCGUAAAGGGUGCGUAGGUGGUGAGGUAAGUCGGAUGUGAAAUCUCCGGGCUCAACCCGGAAAUGGCAUUGGAAACUACCUUGCUGGAGGAUUUGAGGGGGGAUUGGAAUACUUGGUGUAGCAGUGAAAUGCGUAGAUAUCGGGAGGAACACCAGUGGCGAAGGCGGCUCUCUGGGCCUUUCCUGACGCUGAGACGCGAAAGCGUGGGGGAGCGAACCGGGAUUAGAAACCCUGGAU
rnacentral:rRNA from 1 species